rnacentral:rRNA from 1 species
CCUACGGGAGGCUGCAGUGAGGAAUAUUGGUCAAUGGGCGGAAGCCUGAACCAGCCAAGUAGCGUGCAGGAUGACGGCCCUACGGGUUGUAAACUGCUUUUAUACGGGAAUAACGCGCCUUACGUGUAGGGCUUUGCAUGUACCGUAUGAAUAAGGACCGGCUAAUUCCGUGCCAGCAGCCGCGGUAAUACGGAAGGUCCGGGCGUUAUCCGGAUUUAUUGGGUUUAAAGGGAGCGUAGGCCGCAUGUCAAGCGUGCUGUGAAAUGUCCGGGCUCAACCCGGGCCUUGCAGCGCGAACUGGCGUGCUUGAGUCCGCGGAAAGCAGGCGGAAUUCGUCGUGUAGCGGUGGAAUGCUUAGAUAUGACGAAGAACCCCGAUUGCGAAGGCAGCUUGCUGCAGCGGAACUGACGCUGAUGCUCGAAAGCGCGGGUAUCGAACAGGAUUAGAUACCCUUGUAGUC